GCCUUCGUGGAUCAACGGUAGAUCCUCCACAUUUUGUAAACCUUGUUCCGACGAUUCUGUGGAUGAUGCGGGUUCGACUCCCACCGAGGGUA